rnacentral:rRNA from 1 species
CCUACGGGAGGCAGCAGUGAGGAAUAUUGGUCAAUGGGCGCGAGUCUGAACCAGCCAAGUAGCGUGAAGGAUGACUGCCCUACGGGUUGUAAACUUCUUUUAUAAAGGAAUAAAGUGAGGCACGUGUGCCCUUUUGUAUGUACUUUAUGAAUAAGGCUCGGCUCACUCCGUGCCAGCAGCCGCGGUAAUACGGAGGAUCCGAGCGUUAUCCGGAUUUAUUGGGUUUAAAGGGAGCGUAGAUGGGUUGUUAAGUCAGUUGUGAAAGUUUGCGGCUCAACCGUAAAAUUGCAAUUGAUACUGGCAGUCUUGAGUACAGUUGAGGUAGGCGGAAUUCGUGGUGUAGCGGUGAAAUGCUUAGAUAUCACGAAGAACUCCGAUUGCGAAGGCAGCUUACUAAACUGCCACUGACAUUGAUGCUCGAAAGUGUGGGUAUCAAACAGGAUUAGAUACCCUGGUAGUC